CCCAAAUCUCCUAUAAACCAAGUCCGGUAAAUUCCCCCUUCCUUGGUUUCGCUUCAAUCAUUUCGCUCUCACUCCCAUGGCGACCUCUCUGCGACUCGCAGUGGUCCUCGUGGCGGUCUCGUUCCUCGCAUCGCUCGGCCUCUCUACCGCGACCACCACUAAAGGAAUCGAGCAAAGCUUCACGCCUUCAACAACUUCAAUUCCAUCACCACCAGCAACCACACAGCUCUCUCCCAUCUCGGCUUUCACGAGCUCGCCACCAUCGCACCCUCUCUCCGAAUCCACCACCUCCAUGGCAUGAACCGUUCCCUUGCGUUCUCCGACUUUGAGAACUGAGAAGCUUCCAGUGGAGACGACUAUACUGACGCUCGAGCGAGGUCAGUCACUGGCGGUCACCACCGCCGGAGGAGGCUUGCUUGCCGAGCCGAUAAGGAUUAACUACGUGAGAAUCAAGGCCGCUCUUGAAGUCACGCGCAACCUCAAGAUCUGCCAGAUUCAUCCCGUCGCUUCUGCAUACUAUCAGAUACUCGGCGGAGAAGGAGGACGAGGAUCGCCUGGCCUCAGAUCGGACGGUGAACAGAGUCUGUGAUGCUCUGGAAGGGAAAAGAGGUUGCGCUGAGGUUACCAUGCUUCAGUUCAAACCAACGGUGGAGAUCGAGGACCACCAUGGCCUAUGAUGGACUGUCUCAGUUCAGGACUUCUCGUUGUUUUCUUCUCAAGCCUCGAGGCAGCCUAUGUUUAAAAAGGAGUUCAACAAAAGUUAUGUGGGAUUUAUGAAGAAUGGGGCAAGGUGGUUGGUGGAGAACACCGACAUCAAACUUGUUGGUAAGAAAUGCCAACGCAGAACUUCCUUGUAGACAUAAAAGUCAAAUGCGGACCUACAUUAGCAUUUUUGCUGGUGCUAGCUUUUGAAGGAGGAACAAGGAGAAACAUACCAAGUUUGAGGUGUAUGAUUGUAAUCGUCAAGGGAGAAAAGAGUAUAAACUCUAAUAUGUUUUUUUCCUGUUGAACUUGUUUCACGGAAGGUUAUUGUAAAUGCGUUUGAUUGUUCCGUGCCCAAUACUCUGCGACAGUGAAAUUUGUUCAUAUUGGAACUUAUCAUAUCUAAAGAAUAUUGGUGUUUUUGAUUGUAAUCGUAAAGAAUAUUGUGACAUUGUAUGUA